rnacentral:misc_RNA from 1 species
UCUCCGUUGGUGAACCAGCGGAGGGAUCAUUAUCGAGUUUAUAACUCCCAAACCCUAUGUGAACUUACCACUUGUUGCUUCGGCGCGCGCUUCGGCGCCGCCGAGGACACUUAAACUCUUUGUUUUUAUAAGCAUUUCUGAGUGGCCGAAAGGCAAAAUACAAAUGAAUCAAAACUUUCAACAACGGAUCUCUUGGUUCUGGCAUCGACGAAGAACGCAGC